AUCACAUUAACCUUCCUCAUUCCACCACAAGGUUACUAUGUGCUCUAGAAGGGAAGUAUCUAGCGCAAGAAGUUUGUGAUGACGUGAUGGAUGGUGCUGAUACAACUGUUGAGCAUGAUGAGCUACAGUGCAUCAGAUUCUCCUGCUCUUUACCAAAUGUUACUGGGCGAGGAUUCAUUGAGUGGGCUAGGAGAGCCAACCAUGUUUAUGGUCAAGUGGAAAUUGAUGAAGUGCGUAAUGAGAUCGCAAGUUAUGUGGUGAAGAAUAUCCUCAAGCUGUAAAGUAUGUAGUUACUCAUGCCGUAGAAAGCUCUGAAGUGAAAU